UACGUAGGGUGCGAGCGUUGUCCGGAAUUACUGGGCGUAAAGAGCUCGUAGGUGGUUUGUCGCGUUGUUCGUGAAAACUCACAACUCAAUUGUGGGCGUGCGGGCGAUACGGGCAGACGUGGAGUACUGCAGGGGAGACUGGAAUUCCUGGUGUAGCGGUGGAAUGCGCAGAUAUCAGGAGGAACACCGAUGGCGAAGGCAGGUC
rnacentral:rRNA from 1 species